AUUGAACGCUGGCGGAAUGCUUUACACAUGCAAGUCGAACGGCAGCACGGGGCAACCUGGUGGCGAGUGGCGAACGGGUGAGUAAUACAUCGGAACGUGCCCAAUCGUGGGGGAUAACGUAGCGAAAGUUACGCUAAUACCGCAUACGAUCUACGGAUGAAAGCGGGGGAUCGCAAGACCUCGCGCGAAUGGAGCGGCCGAUGUCAGAUUAGGUAGUUGGUGGGUAAAGGCUCACCAAGCCAACGAUCUGUAGCUGGUCUGAGAGGACGACCAGCCACACUGGAACUGAGACACGGUCCAGACUCCUACGGGAGGCAGCAGUGGGGAAUUUUGGACAAUGGGCGCAAGCCUGAUCCAGCCAUUCCGCGUGCAGGAUGAAGGCCUUCGGGUUGUAAACUGCUUUUGUACGGAACGAAACGGUCUGCCCUAAUACGGCGGCCGUAAUGACGGUACCGUAAGAAUAAGCACCGGCUAACUACGUGCCAGCAGCCGCGGUAAUACCCUACCG
rnacentral:rRNA from 1 species